UACGUAGGUGGCAAGCGUUGUCCGGAUUUAUUGGGCGUACAGGGCGCGCAGGCGGUUCGUUAGGUUCGAGGUGAAAUCUCUUGGCUCAACUGGGAGAGGUCUUCGGAUACCGGCGGACUUGAGGAGAACAGAGGUGAGUGGAAUUCUGGGUGUAGUGGUGAAAUGCGUAGAUAUCCAGAGGAACACCAGUGGCGAAGGCGACUCACUGGGCUCCACCUGACGCUGAGGCGCGAAAGCGUGGGGAGCGAACCGG
rnacentral:rRNA from 1 species